AUUGAACGCUGGCGGCAGGCUUAACACAUGCAAGUCGAGCGGAGCGAGGGUGCUUGCACCUUAGCUUAGCGGCGGACGGGUGAGUAAUGCUUAGGAAUCUGCCUAUUAGUGGGGGACAACAUUCCGAAAGGAAUGCUAAUACCGCAUACGCCCUACGGGGGAAAGCAGGGGAUCUUCGGACCUUGCGCUAAUAGAUGAGCCUAAGUCGGAUUAGCUAGUUGGUGGGGUAAAGGCCUACCAAGGCGACGAUCUGUAGCGGGUCUGAGAGGAUGAUCCGCCACACUGGGACUGAGACACGGCCCAGACUCCUACGGGAGGUAGCAGUGGGGAAUAUUGGACAAUGGGCGGAAGCCUGAUCCAGCCAUGCCGCGUGUGUGAAGAAGGCCUUUUGGUUGUAAAGCACUUUAAGCGAGGAGGAGGCUACUUAGAUUAAUACUCUAGGAUAGUGGACGUUACUCGCAGAAUAAGCACCGGCUAACUCUGUGCCAGCCGCCGCAGUAA
rnacentral:rRNA from 1 species